UGAGGAAUAUUGGGCAAUGCCCGCAUGGGUGACCCAGCAAAGCCGCGUGGAGGAUGAAUGUCGUAAGAUUGUAAACUCCUGUUAGAGGGGAAGAAUAGUACCGGUUGGACCGGUAUAUGACUGUACCCUCAGAGAAAGCCCCGGCUAACUACGUGCCAGCAGCCGCGGUAAUACGUAGGGGGCAAGCGUUGUCCGGAUUUACUGGGUGUAAAGGGCGCGCAGGCGGGAUAAAAAGUCAGUGGUGAAAUCCUACAGCUUAACUGUAGAACUGCCUUUGAUACUUUUAUUCUUGAGUUCGGGAGAGAGAGACGGAAUUCCAGGUGUAGUGGUGAAAUACGUAGAUAUCUGGAAGAACACCGGUUGCGAAGGCGGUCUCUUGGUCCGACACUGACGCUGAGGCGCGAAAGCGUGGGGAGCAAACA
rnacentral:rRNA from 1 species